UACGUAGGGUGCGAGCGUUGUCCGGAAUUAUUGGGCGUAAAGAGCUCGUAGGCGGUGUGUCACGUCGGCCGUGAAAACCUGCAGCUUAACUGUGGGCGUGCGGUCGAUACGGGCAUCACUGGAGUUCGGCAGGGGAGACUGGAAUUCCUGGUGUAGCGGUGAAAUGCGCAGAUACCAGGAGGAACACCGGUGGCGAAGGCGGGUCUCUGGGCCGAUACUGACGCUGAGGAGCGAAAGCGUGGGGAGCAAACAGG
rnacentral:rRNA from 1 species